rnacentral:misc_RNA from 1 species
CUGCCCUCAAGCACGGCUUGUGUGUUGGGCUUCGCCCCCCGGCUCCCGGGGGGCGGGCCCGAAAGGCAGCGGCGGCACCGCGUCCGGUCCCCGAGCGUAUGGGGCUUUGUCACCCGCUCUGUAGGCCCGGCCGGCGCCCGCCGGCGACCCCAAUCAAUCUUUCCA